UUUAAAUAAAUUUAUAAUUUAUUUUAUUAUAAAAUUUUAUUUUAUUAAAAAAAUAUAUGAAAUUUAUUAAUAGAUUAAUAUUUCUUAAUGAAUAAAUUAAGUUCUCAGUAUUAAAUAUUAAAUAUUAAAGAAAUUUAGAUUUAAUUAUUAAUUUUAGUUUAAACAAAAUAUGUGCCAGCAGUUGCGGUUAAACAUAUUAAACAAAUAAAAUAGUUUGGUAAAUAGUAUUAAAUAUAAUUUAUAAAUAAAUUUUUUAUUUUAAGGUAAAAUUUAGUUAAAAAUUAAAAUUGUAAAUAUUUUAUUCUAUUAAAUUUUAUUUAAAACUAGGAUUAGAUACCCUAUUAUAAAAAUUUAAAUUAUUUACUAAAAAAUUAAUAGUUAAGUUCUUUAAAUUUAAAAAAUUUGGCGGUAUUUUAGUCUUAUUAGAGGAACCUGUUUUUUAAUUGAUAAUCCACGAUUAAUUUUACUUAUUUUAAUUUAAUUUAUAUAUCGCUGUCAUGAAUAUAUUUAAAAAUUUAUUUUCUUAAAUUAAUAUUUUAAUUUAUGUUAAGUCAAGAUGUAGUUUAUAAAUAAGAAAAUAAUGGGUUACAAUAAAUUUAAUUUAUGAAAUUUAAAAUGAAAAUAUAAAUAAAAUUGGAUUUAAUAGUAAAUUUAAUUAUUUUAUUAAUAUGAAUAAAGAUCUAAAAUAUGUACAUAUUGCCCGUCAUUCUUAAUAAAAAUAAGACAAGUCGUAACAAAGUAAAUGUACUGGAAAGUGUAUUUAGAAAG
rnacentral:ncRNA from 1 species